GGCCGCCUCAUCCUGACAGGCGAAGGGGCGGGCGGUGAUGGGAGGGGGGAGAGAGGGAGAGGGACACUCUGCGCAUGCGCGGUAGGCUGAGCGCGCCCGGGCGGAGGGGAGGGUGAUUGAAGCAGGGGGAUGUCGCCUCUUCCCGCUUUACCUGGCGCGAAAUUGAAACUCGGGUGUCAUGAAAGCGGCGCGCCACAAAGAGUAAUUGUGCAUAAAAUUAUCAGUAGCCAUUAUCUAUGAAGUGUGCACGAGAUUGUGCAUACAAUUAUUAAUAACCAUUAUCUAUGAAGUAUCAAUAACGGGAUUGUACAUAAAAUGAUCAAUGACCCAUUAUCCAUGAAGUAUCAGUAACGAUUUUAGUGUUGAAAUGAAAUACUACAAAGGAGCGCUUCACAUUUUGCAGUAGCACAGUUGGAACGAAGCACACACAUCCAGACAGGCCUGUAGCCAGAAACAUUUCAUUGGGGGAAGGCAAAUGGGUUAAGUGGUGGUGGUGGUUCAACACAAUUGUUUAUUUUAUUAUUUAUUUGAGCUUUGUUAUUUCUUGACCGAUUUUGUACUUGAGACUCAAGGUGUAAUUCAGUGUGAUUGAACAGCAUGCGGGAUCUAAUAAGCAAUUCAAUAGAGCUAGGACUAGAAAAAUUAGAAAAGUGCAAAAAAAAAAGAUUCAGACAUCUUAGAUCUCACACACACAGGGUUUUGUUUUGUUUUGUUUCUGCACUCCUGCAUUCCUGCUGGGUGACCUUGAGUUAGUCACAGUUCUUCGGAACUCUCACAGCCCCACCUACCUCACAAGGUGUCUGUUGUUGGGAGAGGAAGGGAAAGGAGCUUGUGGGGGUGUAAAUCCAAACUCUUCCUCUUAAUUAGGACAUUUCAACCCUGUCCACCACAGCUAAUUCUGUUCUUGCCAGUUGCGUAGAGAAUUCAUGUUAGGAAGAUUUAUGAGAGGAUCAACAGCUUUAUAACCUCAGCUCCUUCCCUUUUUUUACGGCAGAUAAUUUACACUUGAACGACUCCUGAUGAGUUUCACACCAACCCAGCGCUGACUGGAGGGGCAUGACAAAUGAUUGAUGGGCCCAGCCCCCUUUUGCACCGCCAUGGCUCUGGGUCUGCAGCCAGAUUGAGGACUAGGCAUUGGGGCAGAGGGUGAAGAUUGUAUCAGGAGCCCUUGGUCUUGUGGAAAGACAAUGAUGGGAACUGAAAAGCUUAUUUGGCAACAGAACCAAAUGACAGGUUCAGUGUGUCACGCUGUUUUGAAUAGAUGGAAAGCAGAUGAAGCCCCAAAAAAUGGGGGUGGGGGGAGGAGACUGGCAGGCGAUGCACCCUUACGCACGCCCCAUUGGCUACAAGAUGAAAUCGCCACAAACUCAUGAUCUCAUUUGAAUGCUGCUUAUAUUAGGUUUCUUCGAGUUUUUUAAAAUUCCCAUGGGACAUGUUUGCUGAAGACUGUGAUAUACUACAAAGCUAAACAAUUGUUCUUGCUGCAAAAACACUGACAGUAUCUGAAAUUCAUUAUGGAAUAAGCAUUGCCUGCAUACCUUGCUUUUGAACGUGCCACGUAAAAGGAGUGUUUCUGCUGAAAUUCUAAUUGCACAACAAACAGGCUUACAGGUCUGCAUCUGUAGCUUCUUCCUCUCUCGCAGGAAUGCUUAGGCUCUGUGGCUAGGGAGAGAACAAUCUACCAUGACAAAGAUAGGGUUUCUGUAACCCCCAAAAUACUUGCCCUUACUUCAGCUCUGCACAAAUGUGUGUUCUCUCCUUGCCUUCUUCCAAUCAAUAAUUAUCCCUGCCAUGUAGUUAGAUUAAAUGUAGAUUAAAUGUCAUAAAACACUGUUGAUGUUAUGGCAUUAUGUAUUGACAAUGCUAAUGUUAUGUAGUAUGUAUCGAUACAUUGGAAACGAAUGUUGUGAAUGUACUGAUAUAUUACUAUUUGGUAUUGUUUAUAUAUUGCUGUUCUGAUAUGCUGAUGACUAUGCUGUUAUUACUAUACUGUUAAUAUGCUGUUUGUGCUGUUAAUGCAUGAUCUAGUUUGAUGUAUGUUGUUGUGUAUUAAUAUAGUGCUGCUGUUAUUACGAUUAGUAUAUUGUUAGGUUUGUAGUGCUGUUGCCAUCUGAAAUUUGACUUUAUUUUAGUCUUAUGUAUUUAGCAGUCAUAAUGUUGUAAUGUAUUUUAUUUACUUAUGUUGUUAGCCGCCCUGAGCCCUUUGGAGAUAGGGCGGGGUACAAAUUAAGUUGGUGAUAAUGUUGAUGAUGAUAAAACCAUCUGUUUUCAGAAGAGA